rnacentral:rRNA from 1 species
UGCUUGCACCGGGGAUUAGUGGCGAACGGGUGAGUAACACGUGAGUAACCUGCCCUUAACUCUGGGAUAAGCCUGGGAAACUGGGUCUAAUACCGGAUAUGACUCCUCAUCGCAAGGUGGGGGGUGGAAAGCUUUAUUGUGGUUUUGGAUGGACUCGCGGCCUAUCAGCUUGUUGGUGAGGUAAUGGCUCACCAAGGCGACGACGGGUAGCCGGCCUGAGAGGGUGACCGGCCACACUGGGACUGAGACACGGCCCACACUCCUACGGGAGGCAGCAGUGGGGAAUAUUGCACAAUGGGCGCAAGCCUGAUGCAGCGACGCCGCGUGAGGGAUGACGGCCUUCGGGUUGUAAACCUCUUUCAGUAGGGAAGAAAGGAAAAGUGACGGUACCUGCAGAAGGAAGCGCCGGGCUAACUACGUGCCAGCAGCCGCCGGUAAUACGUAGGGCGCAAGCGUUAUCCGGAAUUAUUGGGCGUAAAGAGCUCGUAGGCGGUUUGUCGCGUCUGCCGUGAAAGUCCGGGGCUCAACUCCGGAUCUGCGGUGGGUACGGGCAGACUAGAGUGAUGUAGGGGAGACUGGAAUUCCUGGUGUAGCGGUGAAAUGCGCAGAUAUCAGGAGGAACACCGAUGGCGAAGGCAGGUCUCUGGGCAUUAACUGACGCUGAGGAGCGAAAGCAUGGGGAGCGAACAGGAUUAGAUACCCUGGUAGUCCAUGCCGUAAACGUUGGGCACUAGGUGUGGGGGACAUUCCACGUUUUCCGCGCCGUAGCUAACGCAUUAAGUGCCCCGCCUGGGGAGUACGGCCGCAAGGCUAAAACUCAAAGGAAUUGACGGGGGCCCGCACAAGCGGCGGAGCAUGCGGAUUAAUUCGAUGCAACGCGAAGAACCUUACCAAGGCUUGACAUGGACCGGACCGGGCUGGAAACAGUCCUUCCCCUUUGGGGCCGGUUCACAGGUGGUGCAUGGUUGUCGUCAGCUCGUGUCGUGAGAUGUUGGGUUAAGUCCCGCAACGAGCGCAACCCUCGUUCCAUGUUGCCAGCGCGUAAUGGCGGGGACUCAUGGGAGACUGCCGGGGUCAACUCGGAGGAAGGUGGGGACGACGUCAAAUCAUCAUGCCCCUUAUGUCUUGGGCUUCACGCAUGCUACAAUGGCCGGUACAAAGGGUUGCGAUACUGUGAGGUGGAGCUAAUCCCAAAAAGCCGGUCUCAGUUCGGAUUGGGGUCUGCAACUCGACCCCAUG